rnacentral:rRNA from 1 species
GAUGAACGCUGGCGGCGUGCUUAACACAUGCAAGUCGAACGAAGCACCUUAUUCUGAUUUCUUCGGAAUGAAAAAUUUGGUGACUGAGUGGCGGACGGGUGAGUAACGCGUGGGUAACCUGCCUCGUACAGGGGGAUAACAGUUAGAAAUGACUGCUAAUACCGCAUAAGACCACAGCACCGCAUGGUGCAGGGGUAAAAACUCCGGUGGUAUGGGAUGGACCCGCGUCUGAUUAGGUAGUUGGUGGGGUAACGGCCUACCAAGCCGACGAUCAGUAGCCGACCUGAGAGGGUGACCGGCCACAAUGGGACUGAGACACGGCCCAAUCUCCUACGGGAGGCAGCAGUGGGGAAUAUUGCACAAUGGGGGAAACCCUGAUGCAGCGACGCCGCGUGAGCGAUGAAGUAUUUCGGUAUGUAAAGCUCUAUCAGCAGGGAAGAAAAUGACGGUACCUGACUAAGAAGCACCGGCUAAAUACGUGCCAGCCGCCGCAGUAA